UAAUUCUAGAAGGUGGACUUUUUACAGACUGUCACCUCCUACUGCUUUGGCAACAUGAAUAAAUGAGGACCAAGAGACAAGAUUCUCUUCUUUGAGCUCCCUGAAAAUAUGACCUCUAGUAAUUUUACUGAUGUACUGCCCAUUCCCUCAGGCAGCGAACUUGACUGGUUAAAUGCAUUGUGUGUGAUGAUCCCUGUGCUCCUGGUGUGCGUUAACUUCAAAAUAAUUAGAAGUUGCUUUAUUUAUCUGUACCAAUCCAUAUUACUACAGCACAUCUAUAGUAAUUCACACUUUGUCAGAAAUCUGUUCUCAACUUCUUUAACUUUGUCCCAGUGCAAUAGGCCAUAAAAACCUUUUUCUCCUUGCCUUGGGACUCUUUAAAUAAAAACAAACACAUACAGAAUGUUAUCUGCAAUCCAGUAAACCCAGCCAGGUUGAUUUAACUUGAUGAUGUCCCACCCAUGUUUUUGAGGGGUCAUGCCAGUUCAGAAACACCUUUGUCAAAUCCUUUCUAUGGCAGCAUAUAAUAACUUACAGUAGUGAAUGAAUCACGUGCUUGGGGAAACAUAAAGCUUCAGUGCAUAUGAGAUCCCAAGGAAAGACUACAACAGGUGAUUUGAGCACUAACAAAGCUGAAUUAACUGACCUGUUACCAUCAGAUAUUACUGGAUAUCUGAAAAGGUAAAAAUGUUCAGUUCUUCUAACUACAUCGUACAGAUACAGUCAAAACUGAUUAUUUUUCUGACCAAAGAUAAGCCACUUGCACAUCUCCUUCAAUGUUUUUUUUUUUUUUUUCCACAACAUGUAUCUGAAGUAUCUCAGGUUAGUUCUACAUGAUGCAGGAAAAUAUCACAGUAUACCUGAUGCUGCUGCGUAGUGACAGCUGGUUGAUAAGUAUGUGAUUAUUAAGUUAUUUUUUAUGAAGUUCACUGUUUAACAACUGAUCAGCCAUAACGUAUUUAUUAUGGCAUGUAAGUCUAUAAAGUAUCAAUAAUGUAGAGUGAUUUAUUAUAGAGUAAUACUGAAGCAGCCUGUGGUAGUGUAGGUAGUGCCUCUGAAGCACAUGGUUUAUCAUGUCCUUACAACAACCUCACCCCUGCUCAUAUUUUCAAAAGAAGGAUGAAGUAUUAUAAUAGUUUAUUGUUUCAUUUUAUUUAAAAAUAGGACUUCUGCUUUCCCAAGGCUGUCAGGUGUAACUUAUUUCUCAAGGCAACGACAGUUACUGUUUGCAGCUGAUACCCAGUCACUCCAUUAGACAGCAAAAGCCCUGCAGCAAGCGUUCUGUUUUGUGGUAAGCUCAUGAUACAGUCACAGUAAGGAGAUACCUCAGGGGUGCUUUGAAGACGUUGCAGGUGCGAUUCUUCGCUAAACAACAGAUACAGCGUGGCAAGUGUUGAUAGAUAUUAACAUCAGUGCAGGUGUAGAACUUACACCAUAUGCAGAACCAGCACUUUCUUGCAGUCCCUGGGCUGAUGGGGAAACCCCUCUGUCUCAAAGCAAGCCACAUGUGAGGGUUUUGAACCAGCAUGCUCAAUAGAGACCUGUGAUAUCCACAUCUAAAUCUGCUCUGGUUACGCUCAGUACUCAAUUAGCAUGCUUCCACUUGGGUGUUUAUGAUUUUUGGUGCAUCGGUUGUUCCUUCUAUACUGCUGAAUCAGUAAGGCUGCCUGGCUGUUGCCACAGUGGAAGGUGUAUUUAAUUCAGUGACUGUGCUGUGACAUACAAAGAGGUGUUGUUUCUGAGAGCUCUUCUAGUCAUGGAUUCUGAAGAACUACAACCAGAAAGCUGUUAGUUUCAAACGCUUUGCAUAUCCCUAGCUUGCUCUUACAGAUUUCCGUAACCACCAGGAAUGCUGGAUGCCAGGGAGGAUGCAGAACCCAAGGAAAUCAAAAGGAGCCAUGAGUGUACUCUACAGGGCAAUGGCAGUAUUUGCCAGCUAUGGCUGCAAUACGUAUACACGGAAAGGAGAAAGUACAUGAAGUUCUACUUAAGGUUUUCCUAUGAGCUUCUACGGUUUUCUCUGGGAGCAUCACGAAGAGUUAGGCAACUCCAGAUUGAAAGACCCUGGCCUCAAGGGCUGAAGAAUAGAGCUACAUUGUAACAUCCUGAUACUUGCUGACAAUUUUCUCCCUUAAUAAAACGUUGCCGCUGUCCUCUCCAUUUAUAGCAUCAAAGAGAACCCUUCUAACCUCCUAAAUCCUGUUUUAGUGUCGUAGGCUACAGAUUAUUAGCCAAAGCACAACUGCAUUUGAUGUAGUUAUAUCAGGAAGAAACAUAAGUAACAUUUAUAAUGCAGAAAUACUUAAAAAAAUUUAUUAAAAUUUAUUAAAAUAUGUUUAAAAUUAAAAUUUAAAGCAUUUAAACUUCUGUGUGAGCUCCGAGGCAGCUCUGUCUUUGUGUAUUACUGAAUACGAAAUGCUGAGAGGAAUUGAUGUGGCGGUCUCCUUUUUCUCUAGUUACCCUCCUGCAGCACAGCGCAGCCCGCUGCCCCUACAGGACAGCCUGCUUCAUGACGUUGUCCCUCAAGAUCUCAUUCCACUGUUAAUUUUUUUGUUGUUGUUGUUAGAAUAAAACACCUUGAAGUCCUGCUCUGA
rnacentral:lncRNA from 1 species